rnacentral:rRNA from 1 species
UACGUAGGUGGCAAGCGUUGUCCGGAUUUACUGGGCGUAAAGAGCGCGCAGGCGGUCGUCCAAGUCGCGUGUGAAAGCCCCCGGCUCAACUGGGGAGGGUCACGCGAUACUGGUCGACUCGAAGGCAGGAGAGGGUAGUGGAAUUCCCGGUGUAGUGGUGAAAUGCGUAGAUAUCUGGAGGAACACCGGUGGCGAAGGCGGCAUCCUGGACCGGCAUUGACGCUGAGGCGCGAAAGCUAGGGGAGCAAACGGG